rnacentral:rRNA from 1 species
AGUGAACGCUGGCGGUAGGCCUAACACAUGCAAGUCGAACGGCAGCACAGUAAGAUCUUGCUCUUACGGGUGGCGAGUGGCGGACGGGUGAGGAAUACAUCGGAAUCUACUUUUUCGUGGGGGAUAACGUAGGGAAACUUACGCUAAUACCGCAUACGACCUACGGGUGAAAUCAGGGGAUCUUCGGACCUUUCGCGAUUGAAUGAGCCGAUGUCGGAUUAGCUAGUUGGCUGGGUAAAGGCCCACCAAGGCGACGAUCCGUAGCUGGUCUGAGAGGAUGAUCAGCCACACUGGAACUGAGACACGGUCCAGACUCCUACGGGAGGCAGCAGUAGGGAAUAUUGGACAAUGGGCGAAAGCCUGAUCCAGCCAUACCGCGUGGGUGAAGAAGGCCUUCGGGUUGUAAAGCCCUUUUGUUGGGAAAGAAAAGCAGCAGGUUAAUACCCCGCUGUUCUGACGGUACCCAAAGAAUAAGCACCGGCUAACUUCGUG